AACGCGAAGAACCUUACCUGGGCUUGAACUACUGGUGGUAAUCCCCGCGAAAGCAGGGAUGACCCGCAAGGGAGCCAGCAGAGGUGCUGCAUGGUUGUCGUCAGCUCGUGUCGUGAGAUGUUGGGUUAAGUCCCGCAACGAGCGCAACCCCUACUUCAUGUUGCUAAUCCCGCAAGGGAUGCACUCUUGAAGAACUGCCUUCGAUAAGAAGGAGGAAGGUGGGGACGACGUCAAAUCCUCAUGGCCCUUAUGUCCAGGGCUACACACGUGCUACAAUGGCCGGUACAACGGGAAGCAAUACCGCAAGGUGGAGCCAAACCCUGAAAGCCGGCCCCAGUUCAGAUUGUGGGCUGCAACUCGCCCACAUGAAGGCGGAAUCGCUAGUAAUCGCGAAUCAGCAGGUCGCGGUGAAUACGUUCCCGGGCCUUGUA
rnacentral:rRNA from 1 species